rnacentral:rRNA from 1 species
CGGGGGGGGCGAGCGUUGUUCGGAAUUACUGGGCGUAAAGGGUGCGUAGGCGGCUUUCUAAGUCGGAUGUGAAAACUCUGGGCUCAACCCAGAGCCUGCAUCUGAAACUGGAGAGCUAGGGUUUUGGAGGGGAAAGCGGAAUUCCAGGUGUAGCGGUGAAAUGCGUAGAUAUCUGGAGGAACACCGGUGGCGAAGGCGGCUUUCUGGACAAAUACCGACGCUGAGGCACGAAAGCUAGGGGAGCAAACAGGAUUAGAUACCCUGGUAGUCCUAGCCCUAAACUAUGGAUACUUGCUGUGGGGGGGAUUGAAGCCCCUUGUGGCGAAGCUAACGCAUUAAGUAUCCCGCCUGGGGAGUACGGUCGCAAGGCUG